UACGAAGGUGGCAAGCGUUGUUCGGAUUUACUGGGCGUACAGGGAGCGUAGGCGGUUGGAUAAGCCCUCCGUGAAAUCUCCAGGCUUAACCUGGAAAGUGCAGAGGGGACUGUUCAGCUAGAGGAUGGGAGAGGAGCGCGGAAUUCCCGGUGUAGCGGUGAAAUGCGUAGAGAUCGGGAGGAAGGCCGGUGGCGAAGGCGGCGCUCUGGACCGAGAUUGACGCUGAGGCGCGAAAGCCAGGGGAGCAAACGGG
rnacentral:rRNA from 1 species